CCUACGGGAGGCAGCAGUAAGGAAUAUUGGUCAAUGGACGCAAGCCUGAACCAGCCAUGCCGCGUGCAGGAAGACGGCCCUACGGGUUGUAAACUGCUUUUGUACCGGAAUAAACCCUUUUACGUGUAAGAGGCUGAAUGUACGGUAAGAAUAAGGAUCGGCUAACUCCGUGCCAGCAGCCGCGGUAAU
rnacentral:rRNA from 1 species